CCUAGCAUGAAGUCAGACAAGUGAACCCGCCGAAUUUAAGCAUAUCAAUAAGCGGAGGAAAGGGCGAAUUCGUUUAAACCU
rnacentral:rRNA from 1 species